CUCCUCUUUUAGCGGCGGGCUAGGGUUCCGCCGAACCCAGCCCGCCAGCCUCCGGUCGCCGGGCGACGAGCGCGCCGCCUCCUUCCGGUGGACUCGCCGCCCGAUGGCGAGCCCACCGGCGGUCGCACGCCAGCAGGGCAACGCCGGCGGGUUGGGGUUCCGCCGAACCCAACCCGUCGGCUCUUAGGAGCAGCGGGCGGCGAUUAUGCCGCCGGACGAAGUGCCGCCCGACGGCGCCACCGGGAUGGGCCCGACGCCGGACGAAACGCCGCCCGACGGCGUCACCCGGACGGUCGAACCACCCGCACUGACUCCGGAAGCGUACCUGGAUCCAUUGUUUUCUGGAUGAUCAAGUCCUUAGUUCGUAUCUCCCUCUUGGCCCCUGUUCGAACACCCGGUGAUGGAGACCGAUGCCGUGUUCCCUAUCUAGGCAGAGGGUGAGACCCGUUAUGUUAUCCUACCAUCAAGGAUAAUGCCUCCACUUCUCACGGGAUCGUAACUGACCACGAUGUGGU